rnacentral:rRNA from 1 species
UACGUAGGGGGCAAGCGUUGUCCGGAUUUACUGGGCGUAAAGAGCGCGCAGGCGGUCGUUCAAGUCGCGUGUGAAAGCCCCCGGCUCAACUGGGGAGGGUCACGCGAUACUGAUCGACUCGAAGGCAGGAGAGGGUAGUGGAAUUCCCGGUGUAGUGGUGAAAUGCGUAGAUAUCAGGAAGAACACCGAUGGCGAAAGCAGCUCUCUGGGACGGUACUGACGCUGAGGCGCGAAAGCCAGGGGAGCAAACGGG